CAAGGACCCUAGUCCUACGGGAUGCAGCAGGCGCGAAACCUCUNCAAUGCGCGAAAGCGUGACAGGGGAAGUCUGAGUGGCGGAAACUUAGUUUCCGUCUUUUGCCAAGUGCAAAUAGCUUGGAGAAUAAGGGUGUGGGCAAGACUGGUGGCAGCCGCCGCGGUAACACCAGCGCCUCGAGUGGUACCCACGAAUAUUGGGCCUAAAGCGCCCGUAGCCGGACCAUUAAGUCCGCUGUGAAAUGUUGGGGCUCAACCCUAACGCGCGCAGUGGAUACUGUUGGUCUUGGGAAUGGGGGAGGGUCGGGGUACUUCCAGGGUAGGGGUAAAAUCCGUUGAGCCCGGAAGGACCACCAGUGGCGAAGGCGCCGAUCCAAAACAUAUCCGACGGUGAGGGACGAAAGCUGGGGGAGCGAACGGGAUUAGAUACCCCGGUAGUCCCAGCUGUAAAUGAUGCAGACUUUGGUGUUGCUUAUGAGUAAUCAUAGGCAGUGCUGUAGCGUAGGUGUUAAGUCUGCCGCCUGGGGAGUACGAUCGCAAGAUUGAAACUUAAAGGAAUUGGC
rnacentral:rRNA from 1 species